UACGGAGGGGGCUAGCGUUGUUCGGAAUUACUGGGCGUAAAGCGCGCGUAGGCGGACCUGCAAGUCGGGGGUGAAAGCCCGAGGCUCAACCUCGGAACUGCCUUCGAUACUGCGGGUCUCGAGUCCGGGAGAGGUGAGUGGAAUUCCUAGUGUAGAGGUGAAAUUCGUAGAUAUUAGGAAGAACACCAGUGGCGAAGGCGGAUCACUGGCCCGGUACUGACGCUGAGGCGCGAAAGCG
rnacentral:rRNA from 1 species